UACGGAGGAUGCGAGCGUUAUCCGGAUUUAUUGGGUUUAAAGGGAGCGUAGACGGUAAUGUAAGUCUGGAGUGAAAGGCGGGGGCCCAACCCCCGGACUGCUCUGGAAACUAUGUUACUGGAGUGCAGGAGAGGUAAGCGGAAUUCCUAGUGUAGCGGUGAAAUGCGUAGAUAUUAGGAGGAACACCAGUGGCGAAGGCGGCUUACUGGACUGUAACUGACGUUGAGGCUCGAAAGCGUGGGGAGCAAACAGG
rnacentral:rRNA from 1 species